UACGGGGGGAGCAAGCGUUGUUCGGAUUUACUGGGCGUAAAGGGCGCGUAGGCGGCCAGCACAAGUCAGUUGUGAAAUCUCCGAGCUUAACUCGGAAAGGUCAACUGAUACUGUGCGGCUAGAGUGCGGAAGGGGCAACUGGAAUUCUCGGUGUAGCGGUGAAAUGCGUAGAUAUCGAGAGGAACACCUGCGGCGAAGGCGGGUAGCUGGGCCGACACUGACGCUGAUGCGCGAAAGCUAGGGGAGCGAACGGG
rnacentral:rRNA from 1 species